GCUUAGCCCUAAACCUGAAUAAUUUCAUAACAAAAUUACUCGCCAGGAAACUACAAGCCAGAGCUUAAAACUCAAAGGACUUGGCGGUGCUUUAUACCCGCCUAGAGGAGCCUGUUCUAUAAUCGAUAAACCCCGAUAAACCUUACCACUCUUUGCCAACUCAGCCUAUAUACCGCCAUCUUCAGCGAACCCUAAAAAGGAACAAAAGUAAGCUCAACUACCCCCAUAAAAACGUUAGGUCAAGGUGUAGCCUAUAGAGUGGAAAGUAAUGGGCUACAUUUUCUUCUUCAGAACAUACGAAAGCCCUUAUGAAAUUCUAAGGGCCAAAGGAGGAUUUAGUAGUAAAUUAAGAAUAGAGUGCUUAAUUGAACCAGGCCAUGAAGCACGC
rnacentral:rRNA from 1 species